GGAAGUUAGGACUUCAACAUACAAAUUUGGGGAGAACAAAAUCUGGUCUGUAGCAUCUCACAUUCAUAUAAUGCUGCCCAAUUAACAGGGGCUAGAUUUGCUGAUCAAUAACUUCUCAGUGAUCUUAUAAAGGGAGAGAACCUUGAUCCCCUAUGGAGAACACAGAUUCAUUGAAUGCAAAUGGCCCCAGGACCAAUGGGAUCUGACUUUUGGCAUAGUUCUGGAGACCACAGAAAAGGAAAAGGAUGAGGCAUGGAGCAAAAUGACAGUCCCUUGGGAGGUGACCGCUUAGAUGAGAUGAUAAGUCAAGUGAGGAGGUUACAAGGCAUUCCAAUAAGAUGGCAACGGAAAACGCAUCUGAAAUAUCAUUUGUGGUAUAGCAAUCAAAGAACACAUUCGGUGCCUCUACUACUUCUUGGAGCCGGUCGAAUAAAGUGUCUCAGAGACUGACAUUAAAAUGUG
rnacentral:lncRNA from 1 species